rnacentral:rRNA from 1 species
UUGAACGCUGGCGGCAUGCCAAACACAUGCAAGUCGAACGGCAGCAUGGUCUAGUUUACUAGACUGAUGGCGAGUGGCGGACGGGUGAGUAACGCGUAGGAAUAUACCUUAAAGAGGGGGAUAACUUGGGGAAACUCAAGCUAAUACCGCGUAAGUUCUGAGGAAGAAAGCUGGGGACCUUUUGGCCUGGCGCUUUAAGAAUAGCCUGCGUACGAUUAGCUAGUUGGUGAGGUAAGGGCUCACCAAGGCGACGAUCGUUAGCUGGUCUGAGAGGAUGGCCAGCCACACUGGGACUGAGACACGGCCCAGACUCCUACGGGAGGCAGCAGUGGGGAAUAUUGGACAAUGGGGGGAACCCUGAUCCAGCAAUGCCGCGUGUGUGAAGAAGGCCUGAGGGUUGUAAAGCACUUUCAGUGGGGAGGAGGGUUGAUUGGUUAAGAGCUGAUUAAUUGGACGUUACCCACAGAAGAAGCACCGGCUAACUCCGUGCCAGCCGCCGCAGUAA